AGUGAACGCCGGCGGUAGGCCUAACACAUGCAAGUCGAACGGCAGCACAGUAAGAGCUGGCUCUUAAGGGUGGCGAGUGGCGGACGGGUGAGGAAUACAUCGGAAUCUACUUUUUCGUGGGGGAUAAAGUAGGGAAACUUACGCUAAUAACGCAUACGACCUACGGGUGAAAGCAGGGGAUCUUCGGACCUUGCGUGAUUGAAUGAGCCGAUGUCGGAUUAGCUAGGUGGCGGGGUAAAGGCCCACCCAGGCGACGAUCCGUAGCUGGUCUGAGAGGAUGAUCAGCCACACUGGAACUGAGACACGGUCCAGACUCCUACGGGAGGCAGCAGUUGGGAAUAUUGGACAAUGGGCGCAAGCCUGAUCCAGCCAUACCGCGUGGGUGAAGAAGGCCUUCGGGUUGUAAAGCCCUUUUGUUGGGAAAGAAAAGCAGCAGGUUAAUACCCCGCUGUUCUGACGGUACCCAAAGAAUAAGCACCGGCUAACUUCGUG
rnacentral:rRNA from 1 species